ACAAUAAAAAAAAUCCAGACUGGACUUUGCUUCUCGCCUUUGCCUUCCUCCUCUUCCCCUCUCCAGUCAAGCGCUCAGUUUUCCAGCGAGGGAGAGGGCGCGCCAUGGCGGAGCUCUCGCCGAUGAGGGAGGUGGUAUCGAUGCACCCGCUGCUUCACCUCGACGGCGGCGAGAGGGAGGCGGUGUUCGCGGCAGGAGACCAGACGUACGGCGAGUUCCGCCUGACGCUCCUGUGGUACAAAGAGAAGUCAUUACUUUGCUCAAAGCAGACUUAAUGCCUCCCAGGGCUGUCAAGGGAGUCUUGCGGAAGCGAGACGAUAUGGAUACCCAGCUUGCAGAGUGCCGAGCUCACCAAGCAGGACUUGAGCAGUCCAUUGUUGAGACCAACGGGGCGCUUCGAGACGCUGACCGGCAGCAGGCCGCGGCGCUGGUUCAGCGCAGGCUCGACAUGCAGGCGUCCCUCAAGUACCAGGACCACGAGGAGUUCACGCUGGUGAGGGAGCUCCAAAAGAUGGCUAUUCUCGUUGACAAGUACUACAACGAGAUGUUGGCACUUACCACGUCUGAGCACUGACGGGCUACGGUUAAGUGAGCAAGAGCAAAUAGCAACAUUAGAGGUAGAAUAUCUAUUUGAAUUUUCUUUCAGCAAGACGAAGUGACAAGCUACGGUUGAGUGAGCAAGAGCAAAUAGCAGCAUCAGAGCAAGACGGAGUUCAGGAUCAUCUUUUUUAUCAGCAAGACGCACUUUUUUGGGUACUGUUGCUGUGGUGCGAUGUCUCUGGGUACUGUUGUGGAUGAUACUCUGACUCUUGCUGUGGUGCGAUAUGUCUCGGAUGGGAUGAUACUCUGACUCGGAUCUAUUGCUGUGGGUGGUGCAUUACGGAUACUCUGGGCCUGUUUGGCACAGCUCUAGCUCCAGCUCCACCCCUCCUGGAGCUGGAGCUCAGCCAAACAGUUUCAGCUCCACCAAAACUGGGAGUGGAGUUGGGUGGAGCUCUCUCACAAAAUGUACUAGAGUUGUGGAGCUGGGUUUAGGCAGCUCCACAACUUCACUCCAGACUCAACUCCUAGAGUUAUAUUUAGGAGUUGGAGCUGUACCAAACAGGCCCUCUGACUCGACAUGUUGUCGCGGUGCUGUAGUGGUGCAUUACGGAAUACGGAUAUACUCGUAGUUUCGACCUUGAUUGCCGUAGUGCUGCUACUAGUCAGUCCGGUUUCCAGCUGUUAAUACAGUGGGCGUUCUUUUCAUACAACCUGAAGAAAAGCACGGCUGGUCCACUAAUUUUGAUCGAUUUUUUAUGCAACCCCUUUUGAUUGAUUUUGGGAUA